GUGGGGAAUAUUGGGCAAUGGGCGAAAGCCUGACCCAGCAACGCCGCGUGAAGGAAGAAGGCCCUCGGGUUGUAAACUUCUUUUAAGAGGGACGAAAGAAAUGACGGUACCUCUUGAAUAAGCCACGGCUAACUACGUGCCAGCAGCCGCGGUAAUACGUAGGUGGCGAGCGUUAUCCGGAUUUACUGGGUGUAAAGGGCGUGUAGGCGGGAGUGCAAGUCAGAUGUGAAAAUUAUGGGCUCAACCCAUAACCUGCAUUUGAAACUGUUCUUCUUGAGUGAUGGAGAGGCAGGCGGAAUUCCGUGUGUAGCGGUGAAAUGCGUAGAUAUACGGAGGAACACCAGUGGCGAAGGCGGCCUGCUGGACAUUAACUGACGCUGAGGCGCGAAAGCGUGGGGAGCAAACAGGAUUAGAAACCCGGGUAGUCC
rnacentral:rRNA from 1 species